UACGUAGGGUGCGAGCGUUGUCCGGAAUUAUUGGGCGUAAAGGGCGCGUAGGCGGCCUUCUAAGUCGGACGUGAAAUCCCUCGGCUCAACCGAGGAACUGCGUCCGAUACUGAAAGGCUUGAAUCCGGGAGAGGGAUGUGGAAUUCCAGGUGUAGCGGUGAAAUGCGUAGAUAUCUGGAGGAACACCGGUGGCGAAGGCGGCAUCCUGGACCGGCAUUGACGCUGAGGCGCGAAAGCUAGGGGAGCAAACGGG
rnacentral:rRNA from 1 species